UACGUAGGGCGCAAGCGUUGUCCGGAAUUAUUGGGCGUAAAGAGCUCGUAGGUGGCUUGUCACGUCGGGUGUGAAAGCUUGGGGCUUAACUCCAGGUCUGCAUUCGAUACGGGCUGGCUAGAGGUAGGUAGGGGAGAACGGAAUUCCUGGUGUAGCGGUGGAAUGCGCAGAUAUCAGGAGGAACACCGGUGGCGAAGGCGGGUCUCUGGGCAGUAACUGACGCUGAGGAGCGAAAGCGUGGGGAGCGAACAGG
rnacentral:rRNA from 1 species